rnacentral:rRNA from 1 species
CCCUUAGACGUUCUGGGCCGCACGCGCGCUACACUGACGAAGGCAACGAGCUUUCCUUUACCGAAAGGUACGGGUAAUCUUUUGAAACUUCGUCGUGCUGGGGAUAGAUCCUUGCAAUUUUUGAUCUUAAACGAGGAAUGCCUAGUAAGCGCAAGUCAUCAACUUGCGUUGAUUACGUCCCUGCCCUUUGUACACACCGCCCGUCGCUACUACCGAUUGAAUGGUUUAGUGAGGCCUUCGGAUCCGCGACUCGGUUUGUGGAGAAGUUGGACAAACUCAGUCAUUUAGAGGAAGUAAAAGUCGUAACA